CGAGGACGCUCAUUUUGACCCGCAGGCAUUCGCGCCUCGGAGGAGCGCUCAUUAUGCAUGCGUGCGAUCAUUUAAGAUUCAGGCCUGCUUUGAGACUCGCGUAUCUGCCAGCACCGGGGCAUUUCUGCACACACUUCCUGUGCAUUCCCCGCACGAAGGAGUCAAGCCCGCGUUCCCGCACUGGCUGAGAGCUGUCUGCUGGCGCCCGUACCAGGGGCUUGAUAGAGAAGUACUGCAUGAGCGGAUGAACGGACGGAUGGAUGGAUGGAUGGACGGACGGACGAACGAGUAAAUUCCCCGGACUCUUCAAGCCAGUUUUCUGUUCCUCAAGGGUGGCGCUCAGGAAGCCUCCCCAGACAGUGCUGGACUCUUGGCUGAUCAGCAAAACAUCGGGAAGCAAGAGAUCAGAGCUGAUCCAAUGAAACGAGGCAGCACCCCGGGAAAACUCCAACGAUGCCAAAGAGAAGGUAGGCAAAGAAGGACAGCUCUGAUCUGCAGGGAUUCAGAGGAGGGCAUCCCAGGUAAGGGGCAACACGUGAGC
rnacentral:lncRNA from 1 species